rnacentral:miRNA from 1 species
UGCUUGGCUCCCAUCAUUGCCU